GAUGAACGCUGGCGGCGUGGAUAAGGCAUGCAAGUCGAACGAAUGGAUUAAGAGCUUGCUCUUAUGAAGUUAGCGGCGGACGGGUGAGUAACACGUGGGUAACCUGCCCAUAAGACUGGGAUAACUCCGGGAAACCGGGGCUAAUACCGGAUAACAUUUUGAACCGCAUGGUUCGAAAUUGAAAGGCGGCUUCGGCUGUCACCUAUGGAUGGACCCGCGUCGCAUUAGCUAGUUGGUGAGGUAACGGCUCACCAAGGCAACGAUGCGUAGCCGACCUGAGAGGGUGAUCGGCCACACUGGGACUGAGACACGGCCCAGACUCCUACGGGAGGCAGCAGUAGGGAAUCUUCCGCAAUGGACGAAAGUCUGACGGAGCAACGCCGCGUGAGUGAUGAAGGCUUUCGGGUCGUAAAACUCUGUUGUUAGGGAAGAACAAGUGCUAGUUGAAUAAGCUGGCACCUUGACGGUACCUAACCAGAAAGCCACGGCUAACUACGUGCCAGCCGCCGCGGUAA
rnacentral:rRNA from 1 species